UGUGCUCAGGUGAGCUCUGUGGCCCCUGGGCCUCUUGUUAUUGACUUACUAGCCAAAGUUUCGAAAUCUUUUUUCCUUGAACAAACUCUUUUAAAUGUAGAUGAAGUAAUUCUGUGUUUUCUUGCUGAAUUCCAGUAGGGAUUUUUAGACUGUUCGAUUGUAUUUUGUUCGAUGUCGUCAGAAUCAGUUUUUGACACGGCAAGUCCAUCAUAAACAUUUUGUUCACCCAGCUUUAGAGCUGUAUUAAAAGUUUGAUCAAGAAUAGGUAAAUUAUAACCAGGAAAAGUAGGAAACGCAGGAUUGUUUAUAAUUGUAUCGUUACUUUCGUCAAUUUUCUUUUGCUGAUAAGAAAGAAGGGAACCUUUAGGCACUGGUCCAACUUUUGAUUCAAUGGUCUCAAUGGAAUUAAUUUUGGAGGAAGGUGGCAGUAUGGUUUUAAAUUGAGCAUUUGUUGCCAUUAUAUUUUGAUUGAGAGAUUCCAAAAUGUUCUGAUAUGGUAUAGGUUGCUGUAUUGGACAAUAAAAUUUUGAUUUCACA